rnacentral:rRNA from 1 species
AUUUUUAAUUGAAAUCUGGUAUGAAGGGUUGAAUGAGAUAUAAUCUUUAUUAAUUAUUAUUUUUGAAUUUUAUUUUUUAGUUAAAAAGCUAAAUUAUUAUUAUGGGACGAGAAGACCCUAUAGAGUUUAAUUUUUUAUUUAAUUAAUUUUAUUUAUAAUAUUUUAAUUUUUAUUAAUUAGAAAAUUUUAUUGGGGUGAUAUUAAAAUUUAUAAAACUUUUAUUAAAAUUUAUAUAAUUAUUUUUAUUUUUUUGAUCCAAUGAAUUGAUUAAAAGUUUAAAUUACCUUAGGGAUAACAGCAUAAUUUUUUUAUAAAGUUCAUAUUUAUAAAAAAGAUUAU